GCCUCAUAUAUUACGUGGCCCAGGAGGAACUAAAACUCCUGAAAACCUGCCAGGGCCCAUCACGCCCCUCUCUGUUAGCCUGAAACUUCAGGAAAAGUCAGAUCCACACAGCAGCUUGAUUAGCAGUGCUUGUCAGGGGUGGGUGGAGCAGGAAGAAUGCUGUGUCUAGGCUGGGGUGGGGGGAUAGGAGGAGAAUGUCAGCUGUAGGAGCCAAGGGGACUGGCAAGGAGCUGUGCAACCACGCAGGAAAAGCAUCUGGAUCCUCCCUUGAGCUACCCAACUUUAUAUUAAAGGUCCUUGCUCUGUUGCCCAGGCUGCUGUGCAGUGGCAUGACCAUAGUUCACUGCAACCUCAAACUCCUGAGCUUCAGCGAUCCUCCCACCUCAGCCUCCCAAGUAGUCCCAUAGUCCCAGCCCCUGAGCUGGGACUACAGGGAGAAGUCUCGGCGGGAGAUUAAGUCUUGAGAUUCAUCAGACCAGAGAUGGUCUGUGAAGCCGCAGAUCAGGAUGACAGCCACUAUGGGAAUGAACAAAGAUGAAGACCGGAGACCCCAAGACAGACCUCCGGGGCAGCCAUCACUGAGAGAGGGCGGAGGAGGAGGGGGAAGUGAAGGCUCCUGAGGAGAAGGCCAUGUGGAGGAGGGAAACCAGGGGAAGGUGGAGUCGGAGACAUUGGAAGAACAGAUGGGCACACCAACGCCUGGAGAUGUUGGAUGCAGAAGGCGAAAUGUCAGAAGCUGGAGUCCUGCAUCUCAGCUGGAAGGUGAGGGCUGAUAAUUUAUCAGUUGCCAUUGAUCAAAGUUCACAAGGCAAAUCUUCAUAAACUUCUAAAGCUGCCUACAGUUUCCCGUAAACAAAUCUCUAAAUUUACAAAAGCAAUGCUUGCUGAUUGUAAAAAACACACAGUGCCAAAGCAUACAAAGGAAGAAGACCCGCUUGCAAUUUGCUACCUACAUCCCACUCUUGGGGCCAACAACUAUUGGAAGUGUGGUGAGUGAUUGACUUACAUCCUUCUAGAUCUUAUCUACAUAUUUGCAAAGAAAAAAUAUACAUAUAUAAAAUAAAAUAUGUGUGGGUUAUAUCCUUACAAACUGAGAUCA
rnacentral:lncRNA from 1 species